UAAGUGGGAAACGAUGUGGGAAGGCAUAGACAGCUAGGAGGUUGGCUUAGAAGCAGCCACCCUUUAAAGAAAGCGUAAUAGCUCACUAGUCGAGUCGGCCCGCGCGGAAGAUUUAACGGGGCUCAAACUGUACACCGAAGCUGCGGGUGCAUAUUUAUAUGUGCGGUAGCGGAGCGUUCUGUAAGUCUGUGAAGGUGAAUCGUAAGGUUUGCUGGAGAUAUCAGAAGUGCGAAUGCUGACAUGAGUAACGAUAAGGGGGGUGAAAAACCUCCCCGCCGGAAGACCAAGGUUUCCUGCGCAACGCUAAUCGGCGCAGGGUUAGUCGGCCCCUAAGGUGAGGCAGAAAUGCGUAAUCGAUGGGAAGCUGGUUAAUAUUCCAGCACUUUUAAUUACUGCGAUGGAGGGACGGAGAAGGCUAGGCUAGCGCGGCGAUGGUUGUCCGCGUGAGAGGUCGUAGGCUGAGAUCUUAGGUAAAUCCGGGAUCUUAAGGCUGAGGACAAGGACGAAGUGAACCAAUGUGUUCACGAAGUAGUUGAUGCCAUGCUUCCAGGAAAAGCUUCUAAGCAUAGGUAAUUAAGAACCGUACCCCAAACCGACACAGGUGGUCAGGUAGAGAAUACCAAGGCGCUUGAGAGAACUCGGGUGAAGGAACUAGGCAAAAUGGCACCGUAACUUCGGGAGAAGGUGCGCCGCUGAUGGUGAAGGGCUUGCCCCGUAAGCUGUCGGCGGUCGAAGAUACCAGGUGGCUGCGACUGUUUACUAAAAACACAGCACUCUGCAAACUCGUAAGAGGACGUAUAGGGUGUGACGCCUGCCCGGUGCUUGAAG
rnacentral:rRNA from 14 species